ACGACUCUCGGCAACGGAUAUCUCGGCUCACGCAUCGAUGAAGAACGUAGCAAAAUGCGAUACUUGGUGUGAAUUGCAGAAUCCCGUGAACCAUCGAGUUUUUGAACGCAAGUUGCGCCCGAAGCCACUUGGUUGAGGGCACGUCUGCCUGGGCGUCACGC
rnacentral:rRNA from 2 species